AAUGAACGUUGGCGGCGUGGAUUAGGCAUGCAAGUCGCGCGAGAAGUCAUUUAGCUUGCUAAAAGGCGGACAGCGGCGAAAGGGAGAGUAACGCGUGGUUAUGUACCCUCGAGACCGGGAUAGUGUCGGGAAACUGGCAGUAAUACCGGAUAACAUCUUCGGAUCAAAUGGUGUGAUUCCGCUCGAGGAUCGGACCGCGUACUAUUAGCUAGUUGGCGGGGUAAUAGCCCACCAAGGCUUAGAUGGUUACCGGGUGUGAGAGCAUGGCCCGGCUCACUGGGACUGAGACACUGCCCAGACAUCUACGGAUGGCUGCAGUCGAGAAUCUUCGGCAAUGGACGAAAGUCUGACCGAGCGACGCCGCGUGCGGGAUGAAGGCCCUCGGGUUGUAAACCGCUGUCAGUUAGGAGGAAAUCCAUGAGGGUACUCUCUCAUGGUUGACCGAUUUUCAGAGGAAGGACGGGCUAAGUUCGUGCCAGCCGCCGCCGUAAGAC
rnacentral:rRNA from 1 species